AAGUCGUAACAAGGUAUCCGUAGGUGAACCUGCGGAUGGAUCAUUACCAAAGGAUCCCAUCCAACCACUUGUGAACUGGUCUAAUAGGUCGGUACCUGCAGCCAGGUGCUGGGCCACGCUGCCUUCGGGUAGCGCGUCCUGGCUCUGGCAACUGGUGCCGGCCGGAACAACACGUACUUUAAACUUGAACUGAAGUAAAACUUUAAGAACUUUAGAGACAACUUUUAGCAAUGGAUCUCUAGGCUCUU
rnacentral:misc_RNA from 1 species